UGCUCCUAUCAAAUUCCCCCACACUUAGCUUUUGCUAGUCCUCGAGCAAAACAAACAAAAGAAAGGAAACAGAACGAAACCAACUAACCAAAACAAAACCUAAACCUUCCAACGUUUGCCUCAGGGAUUUCCAAUGCACAUGACAUGUUAAAAAUCAUCACUCCCACAGAUUUUAGUCAUCUUCACACUUAAGCACAUACUUAAUCAUAGUCACCACGUACUAGUUCACAUUUAACCAAUUAAAACAAUGCUUUGAAUGUAGUAACAUGCCUUAGAGAAUUCCCUCAAUUCCUUACAAGAUAUACACUGUAUUUUCACUCAGAUUUUCUAACUCCAUACCCUACACUAGUCAUAUGUGAGAAGAUUGAUGUAGAUAUGAA
rnacentral:lncRNA from 1 species